rnacentral:rRNA from 1 species
GACGGACGCUGGCGGCGUGCUUAACACAUGCAAGUCGAACGGAAAGGCCCCAGCUUGCUGGGGUACUCGAGUGGCGAACGGGUGAGUAACACGUGGGUGAUCUGCCCUGCACUCUGGGAUAAGCCUUGGAAACUGGGUCUAAUACCGGGUAGGACCGUGCUUUAGUGUGGGCGGUGGAAAGUUUUUCGGUGUAGGAUGGGCCCGCGGCCUAUCCGCUGGUUGGUGGGGUAAUGGCCUACCAAGGCGGCGACGGGUAGCCGGCCUGGGAGGGGGUACGGCCACCUUGGGACUGAGGCACGGCCCAGACGCGUACGGUAGGCAGCGGUGGGGAAUAUUGCACAAUGGGCGCACGCCUGAUGCAGCGACGCCGCGUGGGGGAUGCCGGCUUUCGGGUUGUAAACCCCUUUCGGCAGGGCCGAAGCUUUUGUGACGGUACCUGCAUAAGAAGCCCCGGCUAACUACGUG